rnacentral:lncRNA from 13 species
AUGGCAUCACUUGAACUGAAUGCUGAUGUUGAUGUAGUAGCGGUGGCACCACUUGAACUGAAUGUUGAUGUAGUUGAGGGAUUGGUGGCAUCACUUGGAGUUGAUGUCAAUGCAGUUGACGGAUUGGCAUCACUUGAAGAGACUGCUGAUGUUGAUGUAGUAGCGGUGGCAUCACUUGAAGAGACUGUUGAGGGAGUGGUGACAUCAUUUAAAGUGACUGUUGAUGUCGAGGGAGCGAUUGAACUGAAUGCUGAUGUAGUAGCGGUGGCACCACUUGAAGUAAAUGUUGAAGGAACAGUGAUAUCGCUUGAAGUGACUGCUGAUGUUGAUGUAGUAGCUGUGGCAUCACUUGAAGUGACUAUUGAUGUUGAUGUGGUAGCGGUGGCACCACUUGAAGUGAAUGUUGAGGGUGUAGUGGCAUCACUUGAAGUGACUGUCGAUGUAGUUGAGAGAAUUUUGGCCAAUGUUGAAGUUACUGUCGGUGUAGUAGUGGUGAUAUCACUUGAAGUUAAAGUCGAUGUUGUUGAGGAAGAGGUGGCAUCACUUGAAGUGACUGUCGAUGUUCUUGAGGGAGUGGUGGCACUACUUGAAGUGAAUGUUGAAGGAACGGUGUUAUUGCUUGAAGUGACUGCUGAUGAUGAUUUAGAAGAGUUGACAUCACUUGAAGUAAAUUUUGAAGGAGCGGUGGCAUCGCUUGAAGUUACUGCUGAUGUUGAUGUAACAUUGGUAUCAUGA